GGUGAAGAACGUAGCGAAAUGCGAUAAGUAAUGUGAAUUGCAGAAUUCAGUGAAUCAUCGAAUCUUUGAACGCACAUUGCGCCCGUCAGUAUUCUGGCGGGCAUGCCUGUUCGAGCGUCAUUACGCCCCUCAAGUCCCCUGUGGACUUGGUGUUGGGGAUCGGCGAGGCUGGUUUUCCAGCACAGCCGUCCCUUAAAUUAAUUGGCGGUCUCGCCGUGGCCCUCCUCUGCGCAGUAGUAAAACACUCGCAACAGGAGCCCGGCGCGGUCCACUGCCGUAAAACCCCCCAACUUUUUAUAGUUGACCUCGAAUCAGGUAGGACUACCCGCUGAACUUAAGCAUAUCAAUAAGCGGAG
rnacentral:misc_RNA from 1 species